CGGUUCGUGAGUCGCGACCCAGAGGAUACCCAGAGGCCAGUUGGGAGCGAGCAGCAAUGGUUUGUGAGGACUAAUCUGCUGUGUACUCGCUGCGGAUAAACCUUUAUUACCGUGGUCUCAGGUGUGUUGUCCCCACCUUAUCUACUGAAGAAGGAUGAACUUGGUAGCAAUGCAUGGUUCGUCUAGGGCAUGAUGAAGGAGACCAGCUAUCUGUUUAUGAGUGGCGUUCCGGCGGAUGUUGUGUUCUUGACACCAUCACUGGACGAUUCCCUGUUUACUAGCGGCAUGGCUAGUUUUUCUACAUUCACAGCAAUCACAGGACUGCGUCAGCUCUUAAGGAAACAUCCACCAAACCUUACUAACAGAAGCCAUAAAGCUGCUGCUGCAAGUCACAAGAUCCAGUAGAUGACAAAGCUGACAUUGUCUUGACCCUCUCCCUCACAAUCCCACAAAAUUAUCUACCUGUAACAACACAAUGUAAGCUUCACCAGGUUGCUGAAGGAACGUACAAUGGUUGCCAGCCGGUUGUCGGGUAGCGGCGUUGUCAAGAGAGUGAAGAGAUGUCCAAACACUAAGGCAUCCAGCUCUGUGGGUCUGUUGAGGCAAAACAGAAUGACCCAAGACCCUGAGCCGACGGACAACCUGAUUGCGCUUCUGUCGGGUGAGGAACACAUUGAUAGGCCACGGGUAGACUGAGCCAUAGCGAGGCUUAGUCACGUCCUCAUAGGUGGCUGGGUCAACCCAGGAGACAUAGAGCUAAAAAAAACACAGGCAGUUUUGGAUUAUUUUCCUCAGUACAAUGUUGUGCAAGUUGCAAACUAUUUUGUGAUGAAAUUUAAAUUGUCUCCAUUGUACCUGUUAAAUGUUGCCAAUAACAAUUGAAAAAAGAAUCUCAAUGCAUAAUAAAGAACAUGGCUUGAA